rnacentral:piRNA from 1 species
AGGAACAAACGGACGAGGACGAG